AUGUCGAAAGCACGACUGGUCAGUCCGAUGAUUUCUGAUAAAGGAUCUUUGCCGCGUCCUAAAAACACGGGCGAAUAAGGGGUGGGCAAGUCUGGUGUCAGCCGCCGCGGUAAUACCAGCACCUCGAGUGGUCAGGACGAUUAUUGGGCCUAAAGCAUCCGUAGCUGGUCUUGCAAGUCUCCGGUUAAAUCCACCUGCUCAACAGAUGGGCCGCUGGAGAUACUACAAGACUAGGGAGUGGGAGAGGCAGACGGUAUUCGGGGGGUAGGGGUAAAAUCCUCUGAUCCUUUGAGGACCACCAGUGGCGAAGGCGGUCUGCCAGAACACGUUCGACAGUGAGGGAUGAAAGCUGGGGGAGCAAACCGGAUUAGAUACCCGGGUAGUCCCAGCUGUAAACGAUGCAGACUCGGUGAAGCGUUGGUUUAUGGCCAGUGCUGUGCCGCAGGGAAGCCGUUAAGUCUGCCGCCUGGGAAGUACGGUCGCAAGAUUGAAACUUAAAGGAAUUGGCGGGGGAGCACCACAAGGGGUGAAGCCUGCGGUUCAAUUGGAGUCAACGCCAGGAAUCUUACCCGGGGAGACAGCAGAAUGAAGUCAAGCUGAGACUUACCAGACAAGCUGAGAGGAGGGCA
rnacentral:rRNA from 1 species